CGGGAUUCCCUAGUAGCGGCGAGCGAAGCGGGAAGAGCUCAAAUUUAUAAUCUGGCACCUUCGGUGUCCGAGUUGUAAUCUCUAGAAAUGUUUUCCGCGUUGGACCGCACACAAGUCUGUUGGAAUACAGCGGCAUAGUGGUGAGACCCCCGUAUAUGGUGCGGACGCCCAGCGCUUUGUGAUACAUUUUCGAAGAGUCGAGUUGUUUGGGAAUGCAGCUCAAAUUGGGUGGUAAAUUCCAUCUAAAGCUAAAUAUUGGCGAGAGACCGAUAGCGAACAAGUACCGUGAGGGAAAGAUGAAAAGCACUUUGGAAAGAGAGUUAACAGUACGUGAAAUUGUUGGAAGGGAAACGCUUGAAGUCAGACUUGCUUGCCGAGCAAUCGGUUUGCAGGCCAGCAUCAGUUUUCCGGGAUGGAUAAUGGUAGAGAGAAGGUAGCAGUUUCGGCUGUGUUAUAGCUCUCUGCUGGAUACAUCUUGGGGGACUGAGGAACGCAGUGUGCCUUUGGCGGGGGUUUCGACCUCUUCACACUUAGGAUGCUGGUGGAAUGGCUUUAAACGACCCGUCUUGAACCACGGAC
rnacentral:rRNA from 1 species